rnacentral:rRNA from 1 species
UGGGGAAUAUUGCACAAUGGGCGAAAGCCUGAUGCAGCAACGCCGCGCGAGUGAUGAAGGCCUUCGGGUUGUAAAGCUCUGUCUUCUGGGACGAUAAUGACGGUACCAGAGGAGGAAGCCACGGCUAACUACGUGCCAGCAGCCGCGGUAAUACGUAGGUGGCAAGCGUUGUCCGGAUUUACUGGGCGUAAAGGAUGCGUAGGCGGAUACUUAAGUCAGAUGUGAAAAUCCCGGGCUUAACUUGGGAACUGCAUUUGAAACUGGGUAUCUAGAGUUCGUGAGAGGAAAGUGGAAUUCCUUGUGUAUCGGUGAAAUGCGUAGAGAUUAGGAAGAACACCAGUGGCGAAGGCGACUUU